AGCCUCUGAAUCAGAUUCCCAAGCCAUCACAGGAGCAACUGUGCCAGGCCAAGGAUGCGUACAAGGUCCAGCUAUGUGCACUGCUACAUCUGCAAACAGCUUUAAGAGGCCUGACAUGCAAGUCUCUUAAGAUUUACAUGAAGGCAUCCAUUUACAACAUACCAGGUUAUUAUUUGUGAGGCAGCAAUUAUUUAGAAAAAAAUUAUAUCCCCAAAGGGGGGAAUUGUUAUAAGAAUUUUUAGGUUAGAGAGAGAGAGAGAUCUAAAUGUACCAAGCAAACACAUAUAUAAAUAUAUAAACCACAUGUCCAAAACCCAGAAGAAAAGUCCUAAAGCCAUUUUGACUCUUUCACUCACCUCAAAUAUUUCUCUACAAGGUCGAAGGAAAGGCAGAAACCUUCCCAUUGUCUCUGUCCUCACAAAUCCUGACUUAAGGGCACAUUUAAGGUGUGAAUAGGGUGAGCCUGUGACCUGGCUCAGGAAUGAAGUAUUAUCAUUACAAAAGAAUAGCCAGCCUUCCCAGGUAAUCUAGUCAAGUGGCCAUUAACAGGUAACCUGGCAGACAAGGUAAAAACAAUGCACUCAGAUUUCUGUUGUAGACUGCCUUUUCUGUGAUGUAUGUAUGAUGUUUCUGGGUGUGGUCUUGGAUUCCAGGGUGGGCAAUUAAAAAUGUCUGUAUAAGGGCUUGCAUGCAGGGCUCAGGGUCCUCCUCCUCUCUCCUGCGUGUGGGGAAGAACCCUGUUGCAACAGUUAAUAAAGAAGAGGCUUACUGGCUGCUUUGCUUCUCAA